rnacentral:rRNA from 1 species
ACGCUCGACACCUAUGGGAGGCAGCAGUGGGGAAUAUUGCACAAUGGGGGAAACCCUGAUGCAGCAACGCUGCGUGAAGGAAGACGGUUUUCGGAUUGUAAACUUCUGUUCUUAGUGAAGAUAGUGACGGUAGCUAAGGAGCAAGCCACGGCUAACUACGUGCCAACAGCCGCGGUAAUCUGAGCGGGCUGGCAAGGC